AUAUAUAUAUUGCUAGUGGAUUUUGAACUAAAUGAUUUAAACUAGAUAUAUAAUUGAGAGUUCGUACGUACUAAUUGUAGUACUCAGGAGUAGUACUAAAGGGAGAAAUAGAAAGAGGAUUGUGUAGUUCCUUGAGUGGAAAGGAGGGAGUGAUAUACAUAUAUAGGGGAGGAGGUGACGAGGGGAUGAGAACUAGAGACAGAGAGAGGAGGUUUCACAUGAAGUUUCAAGGGAAGGCAGAAGGAAUGGUGUUAAGAGUAUGUAUUAAAUACUAAUUAAGCGAGUGAAUGAUAAGAAAGGAGCUGCGUGCGGG
rnacentral:lncRNA from 1 species